rnacentral:rRNA from 1 species
CACGUAGGGUGCGAGCGUUGUCCGGAAUUAUUGGGCGUAAAGAGCUCGUAGGCGGUGUGUCGCGUCGGCCGUGAAAUCUCCACGCUUAACGUGGAGCGUGCGGUCGAUACGGGCAGACUUGAGUUCGGUAGGGGAGACUGGAAUUCCUGGUGUAGCGGUGAAAUGCGCAGAUAUCAGGAGGAACACCGGUGGCGAAGGCGGGUCUCUGGGCCUGUACUGACGCUGAGGAGCGAAAGCGUGGGGAGCGAACAGG